AUGGACGCAAGUCUGAUGGAGCAACGCCGCGUGAGUGAAGAAGGGUUUCGGCUCGUAAAGCUCUGUUGGUAGUGAAGAAAGAUAGAGGUAGUAACUGGCCUUUAUUUGACGGUAAUUACUUAGAAAGUCACGGCUAACUACGUGCCAGCAGCCGCGGUAAUACGUAGGUGGCAAGCGUUGUCCGGAUUUAUUGGGCGUAAAGCGAGUGCAGGCGGUUCAAUAAGUCUGAUGUGAAAGCCUUCGGCUCAACCGGAGAAUUGCAUCAGAAACUGUUGAACUUGAGUGCAGAAGAGGAGAGUGGAACUCCAUGUGUAGCGGUGGAAUGCGUAGAUAUAUGGAAGAACACCAGUGGCGAAGGCGGCUCUCUGGUCUGCAACUGACGCUGAGGCUCGAAAGCAUGGGUAGCGAACAGGAUUAGAUACCCUGGUAGUCCAUGCCGUAAACGAUGAGUGCUAAGUGUUGGGAGGUUUCCGCCUCUCAGUGCUGCAGCUAACGCAUUAAGCACUCCGCCUGGGGAGUACGACCGCAAGGUUGAAACUCAAAGGAAUUGACGGGGGCCCGCACAAGCGGUGGAGCAUGUGGUUUAAUUCGAAGCAACGCGAAGAACCUUACCAGGUCUUGACAUCCAGUGCAA
rnacentral:rRNA from 1 species